UAAGAAGAACUACAAGGUGAAGAAUAUGAAUCUUCACACUCCUCACAUGCACUCUCAUCAUAGCUCUCAUAAGCUUUGCGAAUGAAAGGGUUACACCUAACACCAAAUCUAGUUUCGAAGUGAGAAGUGUAAGACUCCUCACAUGCCCCAACGUCAUCAUAAGAACAUUCACGAGGUCCUACAUCAUCUCCAAACUCACCAUAAGCACUAGGAACUUCAUUC
rnacentral:lncRNA from 1 species